GAAAUGCGAUAAGUAGUGUGAAUUGCAGAAUUUAGCGAAUCAUCGAAUCUUUGAACGCACAUUGCGCCCCUCGGUAUUCCGUGGGGCAUGCCUGUUCGAGCGUCAUCUACACCCUCAAGCUCUGCUUGGUGUUGGGCGUCUGUCCCGCCUCCGCGCGUGGACUCGCCCCAAAUACAUUGGCAGCGGUCUUUGCCUCCUCUCGCGCAGCACAUUGCGCUUCUCGAGGUGUCGCGGACACGCGUCCAGUAAGCAACAUUUACCGUCUUUGACCUCGGAUCAGGUAGGGAUACCCGCUGAACUUAAGC
rnacentral:misc_RNA from 1 species